CCAAUGCAGCAGAGGGGGUGACGAGCCUAAUGCAGGUUUCUCGACCGCCAACGCCACCUGGCUGCCGGUGAACGCAAAUUUAACGUCAUCGAACGUAGCGACCCAAGACGAAGCCAAGGUCAGCCAUCUGAACAUCUACCGGCAACUGUCCGAACUCCGGCGCGAGGUCACCUUCGUUCGGGGUGACCUCGCUUUCCCAGGUCACGAGGAGGUCAUCGCGCUAUUUUGAGGAGCUACAGGCGCGCCCCGAGUUACCUGUUAGUGAUUAAUACGUCGGAAUACGAAGUUACCGUCGACCUCCAGCAGGGUACGACCCUUCCUGAGGUAGGGACGGUCGUGUUGCGCUCCGUCACCGACACGUCCGAAGCCACUCUGCCAGGAUCCGACGUUCAGCUGAACAAAGUGACCCUCUGCGGUGGCGGAGGCAUCGUGUUCAAGCUGCCUCCUGUAUAGUGUCACUUCACUGUACUCACGCCACAAUACUCUCAAAAGGCAGUAUUGUUAAGUGUUUUUUUUUUUUUUUGAUGUGGUAACGACUUUCUUAAUAGGCUCAUAUAUGCUGUUUUGUCUUUUAGUUUAAGAAAAGAGAAAUA